UAUUCGGCCCCAAAUUCAACUUGCCUCUAAACGCUGCCAGGAAUAUUCAGUUGAAUUCCAAAUUCCAGAGCGAGCACAGCUCCUGGCUCAGUACAAAAUUGAUUAAAAGUGUAUAUUUUAUAAAAAUUUAUAUUUUUGGUUAGGUUUAAGCAUAAAGUGAAAAAGAUCUCUGAGGAAAAUAUGCAGUGGGAGCUGAGGAGCACCCGUUACAAAACCAAAACAUUUUUCUUAUAAAUAUAUAUUUUAUAAGAUGAGGUUUCAAAGACUCGGCACAUACCACCGAAACGUUGGAGCUCACAAAAUGUAUUAAGAAACAAUGACACACGGAUCAAUUAAGGCGGAAGAUGCAGGCGGCGUCCCCCUCCAAACUAAUUUGCGGCAAGGAUGUUAAAAAUCGGUAGAGGAACAAAGCACGAUGAACAAAGUGGCAGUAGCACAAAAACAACUUUCGCAAGCAUGAUAAAAAACGUGUUCUAUGAUUUAUUAAUAAUAACUUUUCCGUUUUAGAUGAUACUUAAGGAUGAGAAAACGGAAAUAGAACAAGUAAAAUAAUAGUAUUUCAACUUUAUUAUAAUAAAAAUACACUUACACUUAAAAA